rnacentral:lncRNA from 1 species
CGAGUCUGGGCCACACCGCCCCUGUCUUAAAGAAGAUGCAGGGGAGGACACAGCAUUACUAGGAGCCGGCAGGAGUGAGCCUCAGCAUGGAGGAUCCAUAUGCUAGCACCAUCCUCACUGACAGCCUCACCGACAGAGCCUUGGCUUGAACAGGACAUUCAGUUUUUUACUCUAGGGCAGAGUUUGUAUACUUGAAAACAGUGGACUUUAUUUUACUUUACCUUUCAGAUUCAGGUUUGAUAUACAAAGGGCUGAGAUAUUUUAUUCCUAAAAGACUUUUAAUUAGCCUUCAUCUAUUUAUCUACUAAAUUAUGAUGUCUAUCAUAAGUUUUGUUGUAUCACCUGUCACAGAUGUAUGUGGAGGGGUUGUUUCUGAGUACUAGACUAGCCUCUGUGGUAUAAAACAAGAGUCUGUCUCUUGGGCUUUUUAGACAGAGCUCACCGAGUUGAAGUGUGAAGUGUAGUUCCUUAUUGAUCACAUGAACGUCUCCUGAGCGGAGACUGUAGAACUUGGAAAUGAGAAAUCUUGCCGUGGGCAGUGGUGCAAACUGUGGCUGAGGCCCGAGGAGCUUGAGUUCAAGCCUGCUUCGGGCUGUGUAGCCAGACUGCUACAAAGGGGUUAAGAGAGAGAGAGAGAGAGAGAGAGCAAGAGAGAGAGAGGGAGAGCACGCGCGAGAGCGAGAGCGAGCAUUCAGCUGGCUUGAGCUGUGUAGUCUGCAGAGACUUCAGAACCACACAUUCCUUCUUAUGUGGAAUUGUGAAAAGAACACUAGAUGAUUUUAUGAUUUACAUUUCUACUUUUAUUGCCUAAUUUCUUUUCACACUUGGAAGGAGAAGGGAAUUUAUCCAUGUUUUUCUACAAACUAAAAAAAAAAAAAAAAAAAACCUGGCAAAAAAUGCCAUAUUGCAUGUUAAAAAAAGCAUUAAAAUAUGGAUUCAUUAAGAAAAUCAAGUAGGCAUACAGUAAUGUCUUUAAAUGAUUAGUAUAUUUUGGUGGAUUUGAUCUUUACAAUUAAAAAUACUUAAUUAAAAGUUUGAUUCUGUUGUUGUUAGACUAAAAUAACAUUUUCCUAAAGAGAUUUUAAGCCGAUUCAAUACUGUGACCUUUUAUCCUUCUUUUCUGUUUAAUGUUCUCGCUGGUGAAAGUCUUUGAAGACUGUUGUCUAAAUUCUGUAUAGUGCUUAGAUACAUACUUUGAAGAGCAAGGAGUCCAUUGUUGUUGAUUCUAAACUUGUGUUGUAUGUCUACUUUGUAGACAAAAAUAAAUGCUUAUUG